rnacentral:rRNA from 1 species
UACGUAGGGUGCGAGCGUUGUCCGGAGUUAUUGGGCGUAAAGGGCUCGUAGGCGGUUUGUCGCGUCGGGAGUGAAAACACCGGGCUUAACUCGGUGCUUGCUUUCGAUACGGGCAGACUAGAGGCAUGCAGGGGAGAACGGAAUUCCUGGUGUAGCGGUGAAAUGCGCAGAUAUCAGGAGGAACACCGGUGGCGAAGGCGGUUCUCUGGGCAUGUCCUGACGCUGAGGAGCGAAAGUGUGGGGAGCGAACAGG